UACGGAGGGUGCGAGCGUUGUCCGGAAUCACUGGGCGUAAAGGGCGCGUAGGCGGCCUGAUAAGUAGGGGGUGAAAUCCUGCGGCUUAACCGCAGGGCUGCCUUCUAAACUGUCAGGCUAGAGCACAGUAGAGGCAGGUGGAAUUCCCGGUGUAGCGGUGGAAUGCGUAGAGAUCAUGAGGAAGACCAGUGGCGAAGGCGGGUCUCUGGACAGUUCCUGACACUGAGGCACGAAGGCCAGGGGAGCAAACGGG
rnacentral:rRNA from 1 species